ACGAACGCUGGCGGCGUGCUUAACACAUGCCGGUCGAACGGUGAUGCUCCAGCUUGCUGGAGUGGAUCAGUGGCGAACGGGUGAGUAACACGUGAGCAACCUGCCCCAGACUCUGGAAUAAGCGCUGGAAACGGCGUCUAAUACUGGAUACGAAACUGGCCCGCAUGGGCAUGGUUUGGAAAGUUUUUCGGUUUGGGAUGGGCUCGCGGCCUAUCAGCUUGUUGGUGAGGUAAUGGCUCACCAAGGCGACGACGGGUAGCCGGCCUGAGAGGGCGACCGGCCACACUGGGACUGAGACACGGCCCAGACUCCUACGGGAGGCAGCAGUGGGGAAUAUUGCACAAUGGGCGAAAGCCUGAUGCAGCGACGCCGCGUGAGGGAUGACGGCCUUCGGGUUGUAAACCUCUUUCAGCAGGGAAGAAGCGAAAGUGACGGUACCUGCAGAAGAAGCACCGGCUAACUACGUG
rnacentral:rRNA from 1 species